rnacentral:rRNA from 1 species
CCCGUCGCUCCUACCGAUUGAAUGGUCCGGUGAAGUUUUCGGAUCGCGGCGACGCCGGCGGUUCGCCGCCGCUGUUGUUGUGAGAAGUUCAUUAAACCUUAUCAUUUAGAGGAAGGAGAAGUCGUAACAAGGUUUCCGUAGGUGAACCUGCGGAAGGAUCAUUG